GACGAACGCUGGCGGCGUGCCUAAUACAUGCAAGUCGAACGCUGAAGGAGGAGCUUGCUUCUCUGGAUGAGUUGCGAACGGGUGAGUAACGCGUAGGUAACCUGCCUCGUAGCGGGGGAUAACUAUUGGAAACGAUAGCUAAUACCGCAUAACAGUAGAUAUCGCAUGAUAUCUACUUGAAAGGUGCAAUUGCAUCACUACCAGAUGGCCCUGCGUUGUAUUAGCUAGUUGGUGAGGUAACGGCUCACCAAGGCGACGAUACAUAGCCGACCUGGGAGGGUGAUCGGCCACACUGGGACUGAGACACGGCCCAGACUCCUACGGGAGGCAGCAGUAGGGAAUCUUCGGCAAUGGACGGAAGGCUGACCGAGCAACGCCGCGUGAGUGAAGAAGGUUUUCGGAUCGUAAAGCUCUGUUGUAAGAGAAGAACGAGUGUGAGAGUGGAAAGUUCACACUGUGACGGUAUCUUACCAGAAAGGGACGGCUAACUACGUG
rnacentral:rRNA from 1 species